UUGGUUUAAUAUGUUGGUUAUUCUUCUGGUGGUGUCCUACUUUCAGGAAUAUGAUGUAUCGGAUAUCCAAUUGGUAAUAUUUUUUUGUAUUUGCUUACCAUGUUCCAAGUUUGAGGGUUCACUUGGAUUGAGCUAAUGGUGGUUGGGUUUCUUCAAAGAAGAGGGUUUCUUGAUUAUUUUAUGUGUUCUUUUCUCGACAAGGAAACAUUAUCAUUAAUAUCUUAUGUUUUGUAGGUCAAGUUGUUGAAUUGCUGCAUUCAUUAGAGAAAAGUGAGGGGCUUGGCUAUUACGUGCUUGAAAAGCAUAUUGUGCAGGACUGGUAAGAGAGUGUAUUUGGUGUGUAAGGAUUUCCUUAUCCAAAACAUGGAUAGCGCAACCCCAUACACCGGGCCCCUUUCAGUUCGAAAAUUUAUUGUGUUGGUAAGUUUGUUUUUCAUUGUGAUUUAUUAAUUUUUUAUAUAUAAUCUUAUUCAUUUCUUGUCUUCCAAUUAUAUAAUGUAGUGAUGAGUACUUUAAAUUGCUUGAGUGAUGAGUAUGAAAAAUAUAUAUAUUUCUCAAGAAAAAUUGCUUGCCUUUAAACCAAGGGUAUUUUGUCUUUUCAUACAGUAAUUAGUCAUUAGUGUAGGGGUAUUUAUGUCUAUUCAAUAUAUUUAUGAAUAGUAAAAGAACCAAAAUACCCUUGAGAUAAAAAAAUUGGCAUUGUAAGUCAAGGGUGUUGUCUUUUUCUUUUUUAGAAUAUAGUAAGAUUACAUAUAUGACUUUAAGGACAAAAAAAUUAUGCCCUUGAAACAAGGGUUUUAGUGUCUUUUUCUCAUAGUUUUUUUUUUGUAAUUAUUGGUUUGGUUGAGAAAUGUAAUUAAUUCAUGAUUUUUAAAUGCAAAAAUUUGUUGGUGCGUUGUCGGUGUUGUGCCCUUUAGACGACGUGUGCACCAUCUCCCUGUGGUGUAAAAUAAGCUUUUGCUGUCUCAUUUGGUUUGCCUUCGUGUCCUUUUCCUUUAUUGGUGGUGCAUGGCAUCUAAUGGUCAUUUUGGUACCCAUAGCCCUUCAUUUUCCCCCAAAUCAUUUUUCUCUUCUACCCUAAAUAAUCAACUCCAGUCCUUAUGGUUGUUGGUGUUUCAGAUUCAAUCUUUUAACUUUGAUUUUUUAUUUUUCUUUUAUUUCUUUUUGUUGAAGUUUUAUCUUUUUUCAAUUUAAUCCUUCAAUUUUAAUUUGUAAAUGUAAGUUUUUCAAUUGAGUCCUACUUUUGAUUCAUUAUUUUUUUUUUCUUUUGCUUUUUUAUCAAAGUUUUUAUGGUUUUCAAUUUUAUCGCUCAUAUCAGGUUUUUUUAAAAAAAUUUCUUUAAUAAGAAUAAUACUAAUUUCAAUUUGGUCUUUUUUCUUUUGAUUUUUUUUUUAAAUCUGUCCUUUUGUCAAAGUUUAUAUGGUCUUAAACUUUAUCCUUCAAAUUUAGUUUAUGUUUUUUGUUAUUUCAAUAAUAAUAAUAAUAAUAAUACUAGUAAAUCAUUCUAAAUUCUAAUUUAGAAUAAUAAAUUCUAAAAAAUCAUAAAUUACAUUUUUUUAUUAAAUUCUAAAUGAAUAUAAAUUUGAAUUCUAUUCAAAUAAAAUGGAAUAAAAAACCAAAUAUAUAAAAAUAGUAUAUAAAUUAAAUGUAUUAGAUGUAAUCCUAUUAAUCAAAUAUAAUAGGAAUGAUCCUGAAAAAAAUACAGUGUAGUUAUUUACAAAUAUGAUUUAGGUAGUGUAUGUCAAUAUCAAGAAAACAAAUACGAAUAUAGUCGAAUGGUAAAAAUGAUUUUUACCAAUGAGAAGACAUGGUGAUAUUUAUGAUGGCGGUGGUAGGUGAUGGUUAUAAUAAUAAUAAUAGUAAUAAUAGUUUUGAAAUCAAGUUUAUAUUUUUUAUUAUUUCAAUAAUAAUUAUAAUUAUAACAACAACAACAACAAUAAUAAUCAUGGUGGUGGUAGUGGCGGUGGUGGUAAUGAUAAUGAUGAUUGUAGUCGUGUGGUGGUGGUAAUGAUAAUGAUGAUAGUAGUGUGGUGGUGGUGCUAAUAAUAAUAAUAAUAGUUUAAAAUUGAUAAAAAAUAAUUAAAAGGAAAGGGGUUUCCCUGUUAGCUAUAUGGACAAUUUGAUAUUCAUUACAAUAGUUAAGUGAAGUCUAUGGCCUCAGAAAAAAAAAAAAAAAAAAACUUUUGCCUUGGAUAUACGAGUGUUUUUGUAUUUUCACAUGGUUUACAAGACAAAAAUGCUCCCGAGGAAAAAAGAGUUAGCAUAGUUGUGGCAGGGGUAUCUCAGUAUUUUUAUUUUUUAUAAACAACCAAAUUAUACAUGUGCCCUUGAAUCCAUAAAAUGUAAGUAAUUGGGGUCAGGGGUAUUGGGUCUUUUAGCAUUUUAAAAUUUUAAAAAAUUGUUGGCAUGUUGGGGCCACCACGCGCUUUAGGCGGUGUGUGUGGUGGCAUCCGAUGGUCAAAAAUAGGCUUUCACUAUAUAAUUCUAUUCAUCGUUGUCUCUUCGAUUAUGGGUAGCGCCUAUUGUUCAAAAAUAAACAUUGUUGUCUUAAUUUCAAUUAGCGUUGUUACACAUUUAUCAUGAGUGAUUUUUUAUGUCAUCUUUUAGCUUUAUUGCAAUACCUAAAUAUUAUUGUUUUGUAUAAAAAAAAUAAUGUGGUCUUCAACAAAAUACAUCCACUAAGACUAAUACAAAUGCCUCGAAAGAAAAUUAGGUUCCACAAGGUAUUUGGCGUUUUAUUUACCGGUUGUUUUAAAUUUCCACCCGCACAAAAAUGACUAGCCUGGAGCUAGCUUCCUCCUUGACAAAUCAGGUUCCCUAAGGGUUUUUCAUAAUAACAACAACAAAAAUAAUAAUAAUAUAUACUUAAUAAAAAGUGAAUGCCUAUAGAUUACCUAGGGUUGAUUUUUCAUGAUUUUUAAGAUUAUUUAUCACAAAAGUUUCAUUAUUUAUCACUUAAAAGUUUUCAACUAGAUUUUGAUUUAUUCUUAUUAUCAAUGCAAAUGCUCUCAUCUCAUAUUUUUUGUAAUCUUCUGCUUAGAUAUAGAUUGUGCUUAACUGAAAAUUCAUACUAAUUGAUUUACAAAUUUCUUUUAGAGUUUACAACAAAGCAAGAUGAGAAAAAAAAAAUAAGGUCUCUAAAGGAAUGUCCAGUUAGUUUAGCCUUGGGAUUUUCACUAGAUCUCCACUUCAAAUCAAAGAAACAGUAGAGUGGCCAUCUUGGGUUGAUAAAGGAUUCAAGGAAUAAGGCAAAUGAUUUGGGUGGGUUUAUCAGGUUUGGUCUCAUGGAUUUAUGGUUGUGAAACUAUGGUGGAUACAAGGAAGAAAAAAGACGUUGAUUUGAGUUUGUAGGGCUGAUUUGGUGGCAUUGCUAGAGAUGCAUCUGAUUGGAAGUGGUAAGGGUUGUUGCUAAUGACAUGGUGGCUAGUUUUGGUCGAAAUCUGACAAUGCUAAGUAGAAGAGAAGUUGUUGGUUGGAAAGUGCUGUUUCUAUUUUUUGUUGGAUGGUAGGGUUGUCGGCAAUUAGUCUUUGUUUCUUUGUUUUUGCUUUUUUCUUUUUCUAGGGUUUAUUUUCUCUGUGUUUUUUUAUUUCUAUAUUUAUGUUGUCAUACUUCUCUCUCAAAAAAAAAAUGGCCCAAACUCGAAAAAUGAUAUUCAAACCUUUAUAUUAUUUCCUUCUUGAACUAGGAACUCUUUACAAUUUUUUAUUUAUUUAUUUUUGCUUGAUUCUUUUUUUUAUCCCGACUUUACAUGAUGUUCCAUUAUAUUUUUAGUUCACAAUCAUAUUAGUCCUCUUUUUCUUUAUUGCCUCUAAUUUCAUUCCCUAAAUUUUAUUUUCAUUAUUAUCUAUUAUUAUUUUAUUUUAUUUUAUUUUUCAAUCUUGCCAUCCAAAAUAAAAUAAAAUAAAAGUGCAAAAAGUUAUUAAAUGAUGAAAAUUGACUAGAUUUUAUAAAAAAUAUAUAAUAUUUUUAUAUUUUUUAAAAUACAUGAAAGAACGUUUUGGACAACCGUAGCAGUGUCAAGAAAAUACCAUUAUUCAUUCAUGUUUUGUCGAUGACCUUAUGAUUUUAUGUCGGGUAGAUAUGGAUUUGGUAGGGAUUGUGAGGAAGGUCUUCAAUGAUUUUGCUAGGUUGUCUAGGCUAGUCACAAAUUUGGCAAAAAGCCAGGCUUUCGUAUUAGGUGUUGAUGAUGAGCUUAGAGCUUAUUUGCAUAUUCUUUUGGUUUUUAAUCUGAGAGUCUCUUUGAUCUCUAUUAUGUUGUACAUCUUCAACUAAUCAAAUCCGUUUUUUUUUCGAUCCAGGUAUACUGGUAUUUUAUGUUUAUUCUUCCUUGUUAUGUUAUCAUGAUAAUUGAGGGCAUUUUAGUUUUCUUUCUCUAGAAAAGGUUAUUCUCUCUCUGAUUAUUUUUUUUGGGCAAAGGUAACUUGGAUUUCUGUAUGUUAUCAUUUUAAAGAGGGUGCUCUUGGCAUUAAGAGGAUCUUACAUCAGCUAUUCUCAAGCAUGUUUGGAGACUACUUUCAGACAUGUUAUCAAUUUGGUUAAAUUGAGUGCAUAAUAUUUUGCUCAAGGGUUGUUCUUUUUGACAUGUUAGACCUCUUCCAAUAUCUUCUUGGUCCUGGAGGAAGAUUAUUCUAAGUAGAGAUUAGUGUAAAGAGAUGUUUGUUUCAUGUAUUGAUUAUGGAGCUAUUACCUCUCUGUGAUUAGACUACUAGUUGUUUGAUGGGAAAUAAUUAUGUGACCUAUUGCUUUUCAAGGUGCUUUACUCUUCUAGGAUGAUCUAAGAUGCAAAUGUGUCAGAUAUUUUUUAGGGUUCUUAGGCCUUUCCCCUCGGUAACCACCCUCUAGCCAAUAUGGGACUCCAUUCACAUCUAUCCCUGGAUCAGCUAUCAAGCUCAUUAUAUCUGGAAAGGUCACUUUUUAGGAAAAAUCACGAUUGACUCGGCUUAGAAGACUCUUAAGGAUACCAGACUUGAGGACAUUAUGGACCAUUUACUCUAGUUCUCAGGCUUUCUUCCUUGGGUCAGCUUUAUAUUAUGGAGAGAUUGCAUGUGGUUCACAUCAUUCCCUUCUCGGUAUGUACCCUGUGUGGUUUGAAUGUAGAGACUCGUGACCAUCUUUUCUUUAAGUGUCUAUUCUAAUCCUCGAUUUGAGGAGAUAUCUUGGGUGUGACUCAUUUCAUGGUCAUCUAUGACAUGGAAACCUUUGCUUCAGUAAGCAUCCUUACACCUCUAGAAGAGGAAGAAGUUCACAUAAAUUUUAGCUCGGUUAGUCCUCUCAACUAUAGUCUACUACUUAGUCUGGUAUGAGAGGAACAAUAAAGUAUUUUUCUCUGAUUUUCUAGACUCUUUGAGAUGUUUGCUCAUAGAUAAUCUGAGUUUGUUAGAUCCUGACUUAUAGACUAGUAUCCUUACUCUUGUGGAUAUCAACUCUUAUACUUUCGUUAUAGAUUCAAGGAAGCUUCUUGUGGAUUUCAAGGUCUUUUCUUUCGUUCAUUUGUUGUUGGGUGCUUUUUUUGCAAUUUUGCAUGUUUCCUACCUCUGAAUAUUUUAUCCUCUAGCCUUUUCAAUUGUUAAGACAUCUUAAUAGAAAGCUUCUCCAUAGCAUAUUUUGACCUAAACACUAUUGAUUUUUCUUUUCUCAUUUCUACUAGGUUCUUUGUCUGCCCGACUUCUUGGAUUAGUUCAGGUAUUCCUCACUUGGCUUCUUACAUCAUUCUUAUAACAACCCGUGACAUCACACAAGUAAUUUACCUAGUCUAUUUUAUUAUGUUAAAUAUUCUCUCUUAGAGUUGUUUUCCCAAUUUGCUAGACGGUCUAGCAUAAUCACUACCAGUCUCUUGACCUUCUACCAUGGUCACUUUAUUGUUUGAAUGAUGUACUUCAUAUCAAUAUGUAUUUUGAGCAACUUAAUUCAUGUGGUGGUUGGUUAUAAUAACAUAUCAACUCAGAUAAUUAGGCACCUUAAUACUUUGAAAUGAGGACAAGCCACUUUCAUCCCACUGAACAGGUAAGGAUAAAGUAUCCUUGUGUAACUUAUCCACAUGGUUCUGAUGUGGUACCUUUAAUAAAGAAGUUGAAAUUUUCUCCUAAUUUUUUCCUAGGAUUUGCGUAGGUUAGUUCUCCAUCAUGCUUGAUCUAAUUGAAAUAGUAUUAAUCCAGCAAAAACUUUGAUUUGAGUUUUGUUGUUAAUAAUUUAUAUGUUGGUCUACACAACUGAAAACUCAGUAAUUACUUGUGCUAUUUGAUUCUGUAAGGUUAUAUAUCUACGUGUUUUGUUAAUUAAUUAUUGAUGUUUUCAUUUGUUUGUUAUGUAAAUUUGGGUAGAAAGUUUUUGGUGUGACUCUCUUUAGUGAUUGCUUUUGGAAUCCGUGGAUGAAUAGUUGUGAGAGAAAGUUUUAAUUUGAUAAUUGUAAUCGAUUGGUCCUAACUAUAAAAGUAAGCAAAGCUAUAAAGUACCUAUAUAUACGCUUUUUCCUUGAUAUGAUUUUGGUAAGUAACUUAAAUUAUUUAACCGACAUGUUCUUGGAUAUUGGUGGAGCAUUGUUUAUGCCUAAGGGCUUGUCUAUAAAUGUGUGUAAUUUUUCAAAAUUUACAUGAGCUAAAUUGUUAAUGAUGUUGAUGUGACUCCUGCAAUGGUCUACAUGCUUAUAUCGUUGAUUAUUCUUCUUAUUCUCCUAAGUCUUUGUCUAAACUGUGAUCUGUUGAGAUUUGGAUGUGUCCACAAAUUGAUGGUGUGGUCUGCAUAACUAUGGAUGGUUACAAUAAAAAUUCUAUAUGUUAUUUUACAUUAUGAUUCUUAUACAUGUUUAUGAUGCCUUAAGUGUCAAUAGAAUCCAUAAUUAGCUUACCAUAAAGGUUGUAUAUACUCUCAUAAAUAGGAAAGGAGAUUUAGUUUACCAUGUAUAGCUUCCUAAGAUCACUCUAGUUUUCUGGUUUCCUUCUAUAACCAGCAACCAACCUAGUUUCUCUAUAUAGUUAGCUUCCUUGUAUAAACCAGUACCUGGCCUAGGAUGUAACGGUGACCUGCUGAAAAUUAAUCCAUUCUAAAUUCUAACCAUUCUGUCAUGGUAUCAAAGCCCUUAGUCAUAGUUUCUAAAAACACCCAACCAUUUUUCUCUCUCAAUUGUAGUCUUAGUCUUUGUGGAGAAGUCAGAUAAUGUUUGUGUCAGAUUCAUAGGCAAAAAUUAUAUUGCUUGGAGUUUCAAUUGGAGACUUUUCUUAAAAGUAAAGAGAAGUAUUUUCUUUUCUUAUUUUGAUAGUUUUGUCUAUGCCAAAAUAGCACUUUUAUUUGGGCAUAUCACUUUUAUUUGGUGUAAGGACUUUUGCUUUGUGCAGUGUCUUUCUUUCAUAAAUGGUUUUGGCAACUUGCAGUAUAAUGAAGCGUGAAAAGCAUCUGAGCAUAUUUUAUCAAAAAACAAGGUCGGGCAACCCCUUCUCCAGAAAAGCUACUCGUGACAAAAGGCUGCCAAAGGAAAAUGAUGAUUUACAACGUCUUUUUUCUUCAAAUUUGGCUCUGGCAAGAUUUCAGAUUAGUCUAUUCAGAUACUUUAACAUCAAUGCAAAUGUAUGGUGUUGUCAGAAUCUUCCUAUA
rnacentral:lncRNA from 1 species